AUUGAGGCUUAUGGCUGCUAUGGUCCUCUUCUCAUCUGUGUGGAAAGUGCUGUCUGCAAUUAAAGCCUGGGAAUAUGGAGCUAAGGAAACAAUCAGAGAUGAGGCAGGAGAGGUGUUCACACCAGCUAAUUGAGUGCUUGUCUGAACUGGAUUUUUUUCUGUAUUUACAGUGGAGGAACUCUAGUUCACCUGGAGAGGCCAGAGAACUUGCAUCUAAGAGGCCCCUCUCUAGAAACUGUUGCCAAAUGUGCUCAUCUUCCAGCCCUGAGAUGCUUCAAAUGCUGUAGAGAUGCCAGGGAGGAAAACAUACAAGACCAUUGGAUAAACGAGCACACAACUGACUCGCCACACCGACUCUGAUCAUCUUCAUCAGCAGAAGCAACAGGUUUUUCUGGAUUUUUACCCCAAAUUCACUGACCUCAUGUUUUAUUUUUGUUGACUUAUUCUGACACCUUCCUACCCUCUGGUAUAAUAUAUUACUCCCUCUGAGGAAUACAGCCACCGGACACCCACCUCACAGGUUAUUGUGAGGAGUAAUUGAGAUAAUGUGUGUAAGCAUUGAAAUACUUAUACAAAUUAGCUGUAAUUAUGUAAACAACAGUCAUGUGUGGUAGGAGCUAAGCUAGCAGCAGGAAUACAAAGUACACUAGAAGUGCUCAAUAAACUGACAGAUAUUCAACAGUGAGUGGUCACAGCUACUAUGUGUCUGUGUGUCCAGUGCCCCAUGUGCUGCCUUUAUUUAUGUAUUCAUCAAACAUC